rnacentral:rRNA from 1 species
UACGUAGGGGGCAAGCGUUGUCCGGAAUCAUUGGGCGUAAAGCGCGUGUAGGCGGCUCGGUAAGUCCGCUCUGAAAGUCCAGGGCUCAACCCUGGGAUGCGGGUGGAUACUGCCGGGCUCGAGUCCGGAAGAGGCGAGUGGAAUUCCUGGUGUAGCGGUGAAAUGCGCAGAUAUCAGGAGGAACACCGAUGGCGAAGGCAGCUCGCUGGGACGUGACUGACGCUGAGGCGCGAAAGCUAGGGGAGCAAACAGG